ACGGGUGGGUAGCAACAGUUGCCCGGGUGAGGACGAGGCGCCAUAGUCACGGUAGUCGUGGCGACAAGAACCAAGCAACGAGAAUCAACAACAACAACCAGAAUCAUUAAGAAACAAACUUUAACACCAAAGCCAGGAAUAUUCCAGUGGGAAUUUGAGAGUGGUGGUCUUGGUCCAGCCGUGGCGGUUGUCAUGGCGACCCCGGGCUACACAGAAGAGCUCCAGCCGGCCCCUCAGCCCAACGCUGUCACCAUAGCAACGCAAUCAGCCACGCCCUCCCGCUCCACGCCAACCCAGUUCAACCAGUCAGUGUCCAUCGUCUCCACAGCCGGACAGGACAAACUUCCUGCUCAAGCCACGCCCACCAAGGCCCAGAAGACAGUGGUUCUUGCCGCUCCUUCUCAGACUCCGUUUGUUACCGCGGAGAUCCAGAGUUCUGCCGUUCAGCAGAGUAACGGACAGAGUUCCACACCGCAGUACAUCGUAGUGACCGUUACAGAUGGCUCUCUCCAUUCUAGUGACAGUGUAUCAGACUCCAAUCCUCCAGUAGUAGUGGUUCAGACAGGGGUCUCCACCCAGGUAGUACAGCAGACCACCCAACAGGUGCAGCAGCAGGUUUACUCCAGUCAGUAUGUGGAGGGAGAGGACUCUUCUUACACCACCUCUACCAUUCGUUCUGGCAGCUACCCGUACUCCGACUCCCCCCUCUACUCCCAGACCCCUCCCUCUUCCUCCUCUUCCUACUACGAGUCCACGCCCACCUCGGGGUCACAGGUCACUAACUCCGUGACUUCACAGUCGGUCUCCGUCACCGCGGCAACGGGAGGAGGUGGGAGUGGUUACGUCAUCCAGGGAGGAUACGUAUUGGGAGGUGGGGACUACUCCAGUCACAACACCAGAGCAGCCCCCGCCACAGUACAGUGGCUGCUGGAUAACUACGAGGGUGCAGAGGGGGUCAGUCUGCCUCGCUGUACCCUCUACUGCCACUACCUCUUACACUGUCAGGAUCACAAGCUAGAACCUGUCAACGCUGCCUCCUUCGGCAAACUCAUCAGAUCUGUCUUCAUGGGGCUGAGGACCAGACGCCUGGGCACACGAGGGAACUCCAAGUACCACUACUAUGGUCUUCGUAUCAAGACCACCUCCUCUCUGCUCCGUCUGAUAGACGACCACCAGCACCUCGCCUUGAGACAGCAGCCCUUCUCUCAGAAAAACAGGGUAAAGCCGGUUCUGAAGGUGGAGGGCAUGUCCAAUGGGAUGUCUCUGGGGGCGGGGCAGCAGCAGGGGGCGGGGCUCAGUGACAUCUCAGCUCAAGUGCAACAAUACCAGCAGUUCCUGGACGCGUCGCGGGCGCUGCCUGAGUUCCCAGAGUUGGAUCUGCAGGACAGACCUCUUCCUGAUGGCAUCGUUCCAGAACACAUCGCAGCCUUCCAACAGCUCUACAGGGAACACUGUGAGGCCAUUCUGGAUGUGAUGGUGAACCUGCAGUUCACUCUGGUGGAGACGCUGUGGAAAACCUUUUGGAGGUUCAGCGAGAGCAUCGACGCAGACACACUCGGCGUUCAUGGUGAGUCAGAGGAGCGUCUACCUAAGUGGUACCUGGUGGUGCUGUGUAAGUACCAGCCAGUUGUUCACUGGACCAGAGACUGUGACAACACACUGUACCAGACCCUGGUGGAGAUCCUCAUCCCUGACGUAUUACGACCCAUCCCCAGUGCCUUAACUCAAGCUAUCCGUAACUUUGCCAAGAGUCUAGAGAGCUGGCUGACAAGCGCCAUGAUGAACAUACCAGAGGAGAUGGUCCGCAUGAAGGUGAUGUGUGCGGGGGCGUUUGCCCAGACGCUGCGUCGCUACACCAGUCUAAACCACCUGGCCCAGGCAGCCAGGGCCGUCCUCCAGAACACCGCCCAGAUCAAUCAGAUGCUGAGUGACCUCAACAGAGUUGACUUCACUAACGUGCAGGAACAGGCGUCGUGGGUGUGUGGUUGUGAGGAUGGUGUGAUCCAGAGGUUGGAGCAGGACUUCAAGCAGACGUUACAACAACAUAACUCUCUGGAGCAGUGGGCUGCCUGGCUGGACGGCGUGGUCUCCCAGGUCCUAAAGCCCUACCCACACAGCCCAGCAGCCUUCCCUCAGGCUGCCAAGCUCUUCCUGCUGCGGUGGAGCUUCUACAGUUCCAUGGUGAUUAGAGACUUGACUCUGCGUAGUGCUGCCAGCUUCGGAUCCUUCCACCUGAUCAGACUGCUGUAUGAUGAGUACAUGUACUACCUGGUAGAACACAGAGUGGCCCAGGCUAAAGGAGAGACACCCAUCGCUGUCAUGGGAGAGUUUGCCAGUGUGGGCAGGAGUCUGAACUGUCAGGACCCUGAUAAAGAUGAGGAAGAGGAUGAGGAGGAGAGUGAUGAAGAGGGGGUAGAGAUGACCGUGCCGUCUAACGCCGCUGAUCUGGGAGAGGGGGAGGAGUCACUGGAGCCGCCCGUCAAGCUAGCCAGGACUGACCCCCGGGGACUGUUCAAUACCACACACACAGAGUGACUCACACACACCCAACACACACACACACACCCUCAACAACACACACACACUCAACAACACACUCAUCCUUUGCCUUAAUGAUAGUUUGCUAUGAGCCCGUUUGUGAUCCCAAUGCCAUUAAGUUCCUUAUCUGUUCCUGCAACCUCACACACCCUGUCUGUCUGCACCUUGAUCUCUAGUGUGUGUGUGUGUGUGUGUAAGCGAAGGAGAGGUUUCACAGAGUACAUUUUCAUCUCUUUUAGUUAUCAUGGUUCCUCAUUGUUCCUCAUCACCUUCAUUGUGACAUCAGAGACGGUGACAUAAGAGACGGUAACCUCUUCACUACACUGGUCCUUCAUUGUGACAUUAGAGACGGUGACCUUUUCAUUGUGACAUAAGAGACUGUGACCUCUUCACUAGACACACUGGUCCUUCAUUGUGACAUUAGAGACGGUGACCUUUUCAUUGUGACAUAAGAGACGGUGACCUCUUCACUAGACAGGGUAACAGUCUGUUCCAGAUUUGACCCACCUAUCCCACUAAUUAACAUUACCACUAGUUUGGCAACUUGUUGUUGGAUGCAGAAACAGUCUUGUAGGAAUACCGUGGCUGAGAUUCAAUCUGAGGUGUGUGGUAGCACCCUGAACAUUUAAAGGUAAUAUCUGACUGAACCGACAUGCAACAUUUACCGUGAACACGUUGAGGAACACUGCCUUUAAAUGGGGCACUGUCAACAGAGGUCUACAACGUACCUCUGACUGAAUCCCUUCAUAUAUGUCCCUGUCAACAGUCUACAACGUACCUCUGAUUGAAUCCCUUCCUAUAUGUCCCUGUCAACAGUCUACAACGUACCUCUGACUGAAUCCCUUCCUAUAUGUCACUGUCAACAGAGGUCUACAACGUACCUCUGACUGAAUCCCUUCCUAUAUGUCCCUGUCAACAGAGGUCUACAACGUACCUCUGACUGAAUCCCUUCCUAUAUGUCCCUGUCAACAGAGGUCUACAACGUACCUCUGACUGAAUCCCUUCCUAUAUGUCCCUGUCAACAGAGGUCUACAACAUACCUCUGACUCAAUCCCUUCCUAUAUGUCACUGUCAACAGAGGUCUACAACGUACCUCUGACUGAAUCCCUUCCUAUAUGUCACUGUCAACAGAAGUCUACAACGUACCUCUGACUGAAUCCCUUCCUAUAUGUCACUGUCAACAGAGGUCAACAACGUACCUCUGACUGAAUCCCUUCCUAUAUGUCCCUGUCAACAGAGGUCAACAACGUACCUCUGACUGAAUCCCUUCCUAUAUGUCCCUGUCAACAGAGGUCAACAACGUACCUCUGACUGAAUCCCUUCCUAAAUGUCACUGUCAAGAGGUCUACAAUGUACCUCUGACUGAAUCCAGACCUAUAUGUCCCUGUCAAAAGUUUGGACACACUCAUUCCAGGGUUUUUCUUUAUUUUUACUAUUUUCUACAUUGUAGAAUGAUAGUGAAGACAUCAAACUAUGAAAUAACACGUAUGGAAUCAUGUACUAACCCAAAAUAUAUAUAUUUGAGAUUCUUCAAAGUUGCCACCCUUUGCCUUGAUGACAGCUUUGUCUUCAUUAUUAUUCUACAAUGUAGAAAAUAGUAUAAAUAAAGAAAAACCCUGGAAUGAGUAGGCGUGUCCAAACAUUUGAUUGGUUCUGUGUGAGUCAGUCAACCUGCAUGGCUACAACCUUCUCUGUCCUCACCUUACCCACCCACUGUCCUGACUGCCAUAGAGAGAGAUUUACUGCGUUUGCCCGAGCCAGGUGUAGACUUGAAACAGCUGUCGGUCUUCAGUCCUGAUGAUGUUCACUGACCUCUUAGACAACCACUUGGUGUGUCCCAAACGGCAUCCUAUCGGUACUUCAACAGGGCACCAUUUAGUGGACGGCUCAUCAAAGAUUCUAAGUAUGAAUAUGUUAAUAGCCCUCCGUGAACUGAGACUGAAGGGGUCUUGGAUUGAAUUGAUCAGUCAGACGCUCUAACAGUGGUGUCCUGAUGUGGUGUAGAGGACGGGGUGUGUAGUUCCAUACAGGGCAGCAUUCAGAAAGGUACGUUUUAGUGUAUUUUUAUUAUUUGGCCAACUAAGAGAUGACCUGUGCCUUGUAGAGUGAGACAGCGCUGGUGGUUGAAUCCCAAAUGGCUCCCUGUAUAGUGCACUUUUUUGGACCUGAGCCCUAUUGACCAUGGUCUAAAGUAGUGUACUAUAUAGGGAAUAGGGUGCCAUUUCGAAGACAACCUGUGUUUUUAAUUAGAUCUGAUUAAUAAAGUGUUUCUAAACCUGUGCAAUCUGCCAUUUGUUCCUCACUCUUUGGUAAUGUAUUAUGAGUUAUAGCAGGCAUAUGUAGUGUCAUAGAGAGGGCAGCCAUAAUGCAUCCUGUUUCCAUCCCAUUCAUUUGUCCCUCCAUCGUCAUUCCUCCACACACAACAGUAAAGUCAUAUCCCACCAGCAGGAUACAGACCUCCACAGAAACAUCUCUAAUCUGUGAUUGGGCAACAAGGUCAGAAGUCACAGCGAGAGCACAUGCAAUGUAUCCAUGGCAACUGUAACAGCCAGCUCGUAGAAUCAGCAAAAAGUCAGAACAGAUCAGUGAAUGUGUGUAUUUGAAAUAGAUGUUACUUUAGUGACUAUCAUAUUUAUUGAACCAUUAUGGCCUUAUUUCAACAGUAUGUGUAGCAUAUUUUGAUGUACUAUCCAGAGUAUUUAGCUACUGUAUUACAAUCACAAGAUAUCUAGUAUAUAUGUUUUGUAGACCUUUGUAUUGAAUCGCUGUGACUAGAGUUU